GAUGAACGCUGGCGGCGUGCCUAAUACAUGCAAGUCGAGCGAACGGACGAGAAGCUUGCUUCUCUGAUGUUAGCGGCGGGCGGGUGAGUAACACGUGGAUAACCUACCUAUAAGACUGGGAUAACUUCGGGAAACCGUAGCUAAUACCGGAUAAUAUUUUGAACCGCAUGGUUCAAAAGUGAAAGACGGUCUUGCUGUCACUUAUAGAUGGAUCCGCGCUGCAUUAGCUAGUUGGUAAGGUAACGGCUUACCAAGGCAACGAUGCAUAGCCGACCUGAGAGGGGGAUCGGCCACACUGGAACUGAGACACGGUCCAGACUCCUACGGGAGGCAGCAGUAGGGAAUCUUCCGCAAUGGGCGAAAGCCUGACGGAGCAACGCCGCGUGAGUGAUGAAGGUCUUCGGAUCGUAAAACUCUGUUAUUAGGGAAGAACAUAUGUGUAAGUAACUGUGCACAUCUUGACGGUACCUAAUCAGAAAGCCACGGCUAACUACGUG
rnacentral:rRNA from 1 species